GACGAACCGUCCAAACGUUAUUCGGAAUUACUGGGCUUAAAGGGUGCGUAGGCGGCUUCGCAAGUUGGGUGUGAAAUCCCUCGGCUCAACCGAGGAAUGGCGCCCAAAACUGCGGAGCUCGAGGGAGACAGAGGUGAGUGGAACUUGUGGUGGAGCGGUGAAAUGCGUUGAUAUCACAAGGAACACCGGUGGCGAAAGCGGCUCACUGGGUCUUUUCUGACGCUGAGGCACGAAAGCUGGGGGAGCGAACGGG
rnacentral:rRNA from 1 species